CGGACCUCAGAUCAGGCAAGACCACCCGCUGAGUUUAAGCAUAUCACUAAGCGGAGGAAAAGAAACUAACAAGGAUUUCCUUAGUAACGGCGAGCGAA
rnacentral:rRNA from 2 species